AUCCAGUUGACGAGUCCCAAAUAGGACGAAGCGUGCGCCCUGGAU
rfam:Schistosoma margrebowiei strain Zambia genome assembly, scaffold: SMRZ_scaffold0000163